rnacentral:sRNA from 1 species
GGGGAAUUUUCCGCAAUGGGCGAAAGCCUGACGGAGCAAUACCGCGUGAGGGAGGAAGGCUCUUGGGUCGCAAACCUCUUUUCUCAGGGAAGAACAAAAUGACGGUACCUGAGGAAUAAGCAUCGGCUAACUCCGUGCCAGCAGCCGCGGUAAUACGGAGGAUGCAAGCGUUAUCCGGAAUGAUUGGGCGUAAAGCGUCCGCAGGUGGCUAUGUAAGUCUGCUGUUAAAGAGUGAGGCUCAACCUCAUAAAAGCAGUGGAAACUACAUAGCUGAGUGCGUUCGGGGCAGAGGGAAUUCCUGGUGUAGCGGUGAAAUGCGUAGAGAUCAGGAAGAACACCGGUGGCGAAAGCGCUCUGCUAGGCCGCAACUGACACUGAGGGACGAAAGCUAGGGGAGCGAAUGGGAUUAGAUACCCCAGUAGUCCUAGCCGUAAACGAUGGAUACUAGGCGUGGCUUGUAUCGACCCGAGCCGUGCCGUACUAACGCGUUAAGUAUCCCGCCUGGGGAGUACGCACGCAAGUGUGAAACUCAAAGGAAUUGACGGGGGCCCGCACAAGCGGUGGAGUAUGUGGUUUAAUUCGAUGCAACGCGAAGAACCUUACCAAGACUUGACAUGUCGCGAAUUUCCUUGAAAGGGGAAAGUGCCUUCGGGAGCGCGAACACAGGUGGUGCAUGGCUGUCGUCAGCUCGUGUCGUGAGAUGUUGGGUUAAGUCCCGCAACGAGCGCAACCCUCGUUUUUAGUUGCCAUCAUUAAGUUGGGCACUCUAGAGAGACUGCCGGUGACAAACCGGAGGAAGGUGGGGAUGACGUCAAGUCAGCAUGCCCCUUACGUCUUGGGCUACACACGUACUACAAUGCUCCGGACAGAGGGCAGCAAGCUAGCGAUAGCAAGCAAAUCCCGGAAACCGGAGCUCAGUUCAGAUCGCAGGCUGCAACUCGCCUGCGUGAAGGAGGAAUCGCUAGUAAUUGCAGGUCAGCAUACUGCAGUGAAUUCGUUCCCGGGCCUUGUACACACCGCCCGUCACACCAUGGAAAGCUGGUCACGCCCGAAGGUCAUUACCCCAACUUUUCGGAGGAGGGGGAUGCCUAAGGGCAGGACAUGGUGACUGGGGUGAAAGUCGUAACAAGGUAGCCGUACCGGAAGGUGUGGCUUGGAUCACCUCCUUUUAGGGAGACCUACACCCCUCAAAUAUCGAAAAACAUACAGUUAAAUAGAUAUUGAGUUGGUCUAACCUAGGUCGGUCGAGUGUUGGUUUAUAGCUUUCAAAGGUAUUACAAUUCCGGUGCGUAGAACCAUACAUAGAUAAAUANCCUGGAAAAAGUCAGCAAAAUGGCUCAGAGCCAAGACUGCUGGGUGAACCACGCCAGGAGACCUUGAAAACUGCAUAGUAACCGCGAAAAUAGCAGGCAGGACAC